AUUGAACGCUGGCGGCAGGCCUAACACAUGCAAGUCGAGCGGAGCGGCGGACGGGUGAGUAAUGCCUAGGAAUCUGCCUGGUAGUGGGGGAUAACGUCCGGAAACGGGCGCUAAUACCGCAUACUAUCAGAUGAGCCUAGGUCGGAUUAGCUAGAUGGUGGGGUAAAGGCUUACCAAGGCGACGAUCCCUCGCCGGUCUGAGAGGAUGACCAGCCACACUGGAGCUGAGACACGGACCAGACUCCGACGGGAGGCAGCAGUGGGGAAUAUUGCACAAUGGGCGCAAGCCUGAUGCAGCCAUGCCGCGUGUGUGAAGAAGGCCUUCGGGUUGUAAAGCCCUUUUGUUGGGAAAGCGGUACCCAAAGAAUAAGCACCGGCUAACUUCGUGCCAGCAGCCGCGGUAAUUC
rnacentral:rRNA from 1 species